UAUGGUGUGUAUUUAGGGCUAAUGCGUGAUGCAAAGUCUAAACAACAGCUGUAACUUUAAAUUAAAAAAAAAACCCGAAUGAUACAUUUCUAUUCGGACACGCUAUGUGAAUAUUUUUGCAUUUACUGUGUGUUUGGACUUUUUACAUCUAAAUAAUCAUGUUUCCGUACGUGUCGCGAGCGGCGGUGUCUUCUCCGCACGCCAGCCGGCCAGAGUGACUCCCUGCCCGGCCAGCCUGCCGUCACUCCUCCGCUGACCUCGGCUCGCGGUCCCGCGAGAAAAACAACAAAUAACGGUAAAUGGACCUUCGAGGAGCUCAGUGGACAAGUGGUGCUGGCAGAGAUGAAUGUUUUGGGUGUGGCUUGAGGCGGCAAGCAAAAACAGCAGGUGUUCGUAAUGCUGAGUGUACACCUGCUGGAUGCAUCACAAGGGUUCAUCAUCAGUACACAUGAUUAAUAUCAAGACGUUUAGCUGCAAUCAUGUUGGAGUUGCUCCGCCUCAGAGGCUGAUUGGUACCGAGUGGAAGAAGCAUUGGAGGAGGAUGAGGAGGAGGAGGAGGAGGAAGAGGCGCCGCAAAAAAAAAAGGUCAGAUGAGCGAGGCCGUUGUAGCCAAGCUUGCUUUGAAGCUUGGCCAAGGAGGCUACAGGAGGUAAUCAGAGGAAAAUAUGUCCCCUUCCUCCUCUUCGUCUUUUAGACCUCCAUUAGACCAACCUGCAUCUGUCUGGGAAAAUUGAUUUUCUCCCUCCUUUUAUUCCCAUUUGUCGCUGCACUCUAAAGAGAGAGAGAGUUGGAGGGAAAAAGAAGUAGUUAGGUCACGACAGGUUGUUCACACUUGUACUUCCACACCUCGGCUGGGAUCUCAUCUCUGACAUUAGUGAACACACAGCAAAGCCUGCAGGAUAGCUUUUUUUUUUGGUGUGAUCCCCAUCUGCCUAAUCCUUUCCUUCCUCAUUCUGCAUGUCACACUUCCUCCCCCUCGCAGACCCGCACUGCGAGAGCCAAGUCUUGGAUCAAUGCUCCAUUGAUUUUGCUAUCAAUGAACAUUAGUAUGGAUCAGACUGCAGCUUUACGCCCAUGCACACAUAUACAUAUAAAAAAAAAGCCCAGUAAUAGAAAUAAAGGAGCGGCACAGCAGCCAAUCAAUGAACAGCAAGACAGAACGGCCUGCAAAUGAAAUCAGACGUGGUGUUUGUUCCUGCACUCAUCGGUCAAGCGCUCGCGCGUCGAUUCUCUGCAGAAUAAUCCAGCAUGGUGGUCGGGCAGCCUUGAUAAUGAUGGCCGGGCAGCCUUGAUAAUGGCCGCUAAUCGUGACAGUGAAUGGACGCCGCCUCUCCUUCUCUUCUCUCACCCUAUAAUAGGCUUCCAGUCAGGUGAAGAUUGACACUACCCCCCCACGUCUCGCCGGGCUCCUUUUGUGUGCGACAUUGUGUUCAUUCCACAUGGCGGCCAUCGUGCCUCCACUAGAGCGACACGGUGUUAGUCUUUAUUUAACUCACAAGUGAACAUCACAGGAGAUGUAGGAAAAAAUCUCCUAUAACA